GGAGCUCUUGGCGCGCAGCAGACCACCACGUCAGCAGUGGCGGCCGGAGGUUCAGGUGUUUCCUUAAACAACCAGGAUCUGGGUGUUUACAGUGGUCAGUCAGCGGGAAGGGGACCACAUGAUGGAAGCUCUACAGGU